UACGGGGGGAGCAAGCGUUGUUCGGAUUUACUGGGCGUAAAGGGCGCGUAGGCGGCCUCUGCAGGUCAGUUGUGAAAUCUCCGGGCUUAACCCGGAAAGGUCAACUGAUACUGCAGGGCUAGAGUGCAGAAGGGGCAACUGGAAUUCUCGGUGUAGCGGUGAAAUGCGUAGAUAUCGAGAGGAACACCUGCGGCGAAGGCGGGUUGCUGGGCUGACACUGACGCUGAGGCGCGAAAGCCAGGGGAGCGAACGGG
rnacentral:rRNA from 1 species